GAUAGUGGCCGCAGUUGUAUUAUCUUGUGCAUUUGUCAAGAGAGGUCAUCCGAACGCUGAGAUAAAGGCUUGGGAUUCCAUUGUCUCAUCUCUUUCUGGGAGUGAUUUUCCUCUCAUCUGGAAGUGCAGAGACAGAGUCUUCAUAGGGAACUGAGAUUACCUCCAAAAAACAUUUGUGAAGUGAGCAAUUCCUAGAAGGCUGUUAAUGUUGAUUAAUGAAAUUAUACAAAAAGAAUCAUAAGAUAGCUGGAGAAGAAAAUUAUCUGUGAUGCCUGGAAAAGAUACGUCCCAGUGGGAGAAAAAAUCAAUCCACUGAGACCAUGGCUUUGCAGUAAAGAAAAAGUUUGAUGAGAGGCUGGCCAUGCCACGAGGGACAUGGAGUUAUUACUCAUCAAUCUCCCUGAAAUUUGGAGGCUGGGGUUUUUCAAAGAUACUUUGGUGGGCAGGGAACUAGGGAAUGGGUGCUGCCGACUGGUUGGGGAAUGCAAUCAUAGGGAUGACGAAAAUGGUCCUCAUGCACUGAGUCUGCUUCUGGGUGGGGGCAACAGGACUGUUUGAGUCACAGGUUGGGUGGGGCCAUCUGAUUGUCAGAAAUGCAAAAGCCUGAAAAGAUAUCUCAAAAGGCCUGUCUUAGAUUCCACAAUAGUGAUGUUAAUUACCAUUAACAUAGUAAUUAACAUAGGAGGAGCUGGGGAAGUUGGAGAUCUUGGGACCUCUGGAAUAAUGGCUGGUAAUUGUUUAACUGCACCUACAUUUUAGUAGAAUUCAGGCCCCUCUGAUUUUCCUAACCUGGUAGCCUUUCAUUAGUUUUACAAGGGUGGUUUCAUUUUUGGGAAGAGCUAUUGUCUCCCAAAGUUAGUCUGACUUAUGCCCAGGAAUGACCAAGGACAGUUUGGAGGUUAAAGGCAAGAUGGAGUUGGUCAGAAUUUUCUCUUACAAUUUUUGCAAAGGCAGUUUUAUAUAUAUUGGUUUUCAUCCAUGGCUCCUGGCUCUUAACUCUCGUAGCUCUUGUUACAGUCUUUUGUUAUAAUGUUGGGUGUGUUGGGCCCCAAGGGCAGGCCUCAGGAAACAGAAUCUGUCUCCUGCCCUCAUUUCACCUGCCCCAGGGCAUGACUGUAAUCUUCCUGUGAAAAGUAAAGUAGAGGUUUCUCUUCAAAGACUUUCUUCCCUGUCUAAUUAGGAAUAAAUAGUAACUUCUCUUAGAAGCAAAAUUUAUUCAAAGACCUGUGCUAACAUUCUUAAAUAUCUGCUAACCAUAAUAAAGAAAUCAAUGUACUUUAUGUUCUUAGCUCCCACAAUUUAGCCUAAAUAUUUGCCCUGGCAUGCUUAUGCUGGUCCAAGCAAGCAUUAGGUCAUAGCCUGUUCCUCUUCCUUAUUUGAAGGUGUUUUUACCUUUCUCAGCAUUCCACAAGUUACAUCCUCCUUCCUUUGUUCUCAUCUGCCUUUGCCUCUUUUAAAAAGUUCUAAGUUGCUAGCCAGUCAGGACAAAUACAGAAUAUGAGGUCCCAUUCCAGCCAAUGGAAACUGGACACAGCAGUAGGGUGGAUGCAUCAGGUUAUAAAUGACCCUGUCUCCUUUGUUUGGUGUACUCUCAUGGCAGAACUAAUGGCGAGUGUACCCUUUCUGCAGAAAGCAUAAAAAUGGCCUUGCUGAGAAAAUUAAAUUUACGUUCAAGUGCUAUUUCUUUAUGGCACCAGGAAACAAGCAUUUCAAACAUUCCCCUGCCUUUCUGAUUGUGGGUCUUAAGACCCUCCCUUGAGAAGGUCCUGCCUCAUACGCUGGGGGAAGGAAUGCUUCAAUAAGAACCCAAGAGGAUUGGCUUUGGUGAGCUUUCAGAUAGCUGAACACAUGGGGGUUCCUGGAGGAUGGUAUGCAUGGGGAGGGCAUGGUAGCUCUGUGCUCCUUCCCCCAUACCAUCUCUUCAUCUGUGUCCUUUGUAAUGCCCUUUAUAAUAAAGUAUAAUAGUAAAUGUAAAUAAGUGCUUCCCUGAGUUCUGUGAGCUGCUCCAGCAAAUUAAUCAAACCCAAAGAGGGGGCUGUGGGAACUGUAACUUGAAGUCUGUUGGUUAGAAGUUUUGGAGGACUGGACUUGUGAUUGGUGUCUAAGGGUAUGGAGGGGGCAGUCUUGGGGACUGAGCCCACCAGCUGUGGGAUAUGGAGCUAUCUCCAGGUAGGUAGCGUUGGAAUUGAAUUGGAAGACACCUAACUGGUGUCCACUUCCUGGUGUGUGGGGAAAGCCCCCACAUUUGGUCACAGAAGGCUUAUUCUGUGUUGAUGAUUGUGGUGGUGGUGUGAGUGCAGAGGAAAAACACGGUUGGAGAGAGUUUUUCCUCUACCUGUGAAAGCAGUGAAAGAAGGAAGGACUAGGUAGCAAAUGAGUCACAUCUCAGCACACUUCUGAUAAGUUUUUGACCAGGCCAGUAGGGAGUCCUGGAGCCACACAAACCCUGUAGAGGAUUAUCACAUUGGGCAGGAAAGGCCAGAUUCUUGUUGCCUGCGCCCUUGUACCUUUGUUGUACAUGGUCAUUAGAUGGGAGGAGCCUAGGGGAAGGGAGGCCUGGAAUAAACACUGUGGUGGAUCUAAAGCACAGCUCCUGGAAGCUGUCCAUCAGCUGUGCCUGCGCCCCAACAGGUCUCAUGAAGGGAGUUCCAAAGGAGCACUUCCAUGGCCACCACACUCCACC
rnacentral:lncRNA from 10 species